UUACUGGAUACAUUAUUGUUUGAAGAUUGAAGCUCAAAACGACCAUCACUCAGGCUAGAAAGGGGAGAUUCGAGUUGGACGAUUCAGGCUAGAAAAACUCUCGAGCUCCAAGAUUCAAGCGCAAAAAAUCGCUCAAUUGCUAGGACAAUAUUCAAGAUCAAAGGUGAUUUAGGGUUUUAUUUUGAUAUGAAUAUCGAUUCAGGGUGCAUCAUCAUGUCUAACUCUGUUCCGACUUUCAUCAGUUAGUGAUAGUAGUUAUAUCACGUUAAAUGAGCAAGCUCUCUUAAAGAGACCAACUUUCUGAUUUUAAUUAGUUAGAAGACAAACCAAGUGCAGGUAACCCAAGCCUCAGCUCAGUCUCAUUAAGGUUGUUUUUUCCUUGUUAUUAGUUGAAACAUCAGAUGAGGAGAGCUUAUAAUAAGUUUCCAUAAGUCCUGAUAAAUCUAUGUUAUCAACUGUCCAAUGAUUCCGUCUCUCUUGUGUUUGUGUACUAGUUGUCCAUAGAGGUGUAAAUUACACUUUCUUUUGUAUCGUUUAGAAUUCUGCCUAAGAAAGUAUUGCAGCUACAACUAAUUUGUAUAUAUGCACCAUGUAGAAGUGGUAUAGAAACAAGAGCAUUUGUACAUUCAAGGGUUACCUGGUUUUUUGAUGUUAGCCUAGAAUUUAUCAGUUAAUUCCAGGAACUGGUACUCUCACUUUGUAUACUUAUCUGUACCACUCAUCUGUUAUGUCGAGAUGUCUUUCCUUUCAAAUUAUGUUUACUCUGAUUUUGCCGCCCCCUAAUUGAAAGUUUCAGCUUGUAUAUGCUCUGUUACGUGAACUUAAUAGAUCAGUACUUUCAUAAUCUAAACAUGUCUCGAGCGUUUGCAGUAAGCUAAUUUAUGUUCUCCUAAGUUUUAGCUGGAAAGGUAUCUAUUGUUUUUAAUUUAUUUUCCU